rfam:Cajanus cajan CcLG06_1075, whole genome shotgun sequence.
UUGGCAUGGUGAUGAUGUUUAUUGUCAUUUGAUAUUCAAAUGAAAAAAAUAUAUCCUCCUACUCAUUCUGA